rnacentral:rRNA from 1 species
GACAGAGGGGGCAAGCGUUGCUCGGAAUCACUGGGCGUAAAGGGCGCGUAGGCGGGAUGGCAAGUCAGUCGUGAAAUCUCUCGGCUCAACCGAGAAACGUCGGCUGAUACUGCCGUUCUUGAGGGAUGCAGAGGGGACUGGAAUUCCCGGUGUAGCGGUGAAAUGUGUAGAGAUCGGGAGGAACACCGGUGGCGAAGGCGGGUCUCUGGGCAUUUCCUGACGCUGAGGCGCGAAAGCGUGGGGAGCAAACGGG